CGCGUGAGUGAAGAAGGCUUCGGGUUGUAAAGCUCUUUCGGCAGGAACGAAACGGUCGUCUCUAACAUAGGCGGCUAAUGACGGUACCUGAAGAAGAAGCACCGGCUAACUACGUGCCAGCAGCCGCGGUAAUACGUAGGGUGCGAGCGUUAAUCGGAAUUACUGGGCGUAAAGCGUGCGCAGGCGGUUAUGUAAGACAGGUGUGAAAUCCCCGGGCUCAACCUGGGAACUGCGCUUGUGACUGCAUAACUCGAGUGUGGCAGAGGGGGGUGGAAUUCCACGUGUAGCAGUGAAAUGCGUAGAGAUGUGGAGGAACACCGAUGGCGAAGCAGCCCCCUGGGUCAACACUGACGCUCAUGCACGAAAGCGUGGGGAGCAAACAGGAUUAGAUACCCUGGUAGUCCACGCCCUAA
rnacentral:rRNA from 1 species